GGUCUUAUGCCUUAGUGGUAUAAUGCGCUGCGGUUGCUUUCGGGCUGCAGGUUCGAUUCCUGCUUGUGCCA